CAGGCCUAACACAUGCAAGUCGAGCGGAAACGAGUUAUCUGAACCUUCGGGGAACGAUAACGGCGUCGAGCGGCGGACGGGUGAGUAAUGCCUAGGAAAUUGCCCUGAUGUGGGGGAUAACCAUUGGAAACGAUGGCUAAUACCGCAUAAUACCUACGGGUCAAAGAGGGGGACCUUUGGGCCUCUCGCGUCAGGAUAUGCCUAGGUGGGAUUAGCUAGUUGGUGAGGUAAUGGCUCACCAAGGCGACGAUCCCUAGCUGGUCUGAGAGGAUGAUCAGCCACACUGGAACUGAGACACGGUCCAGACUCCUACGGGAGGCAGCAGUGGGGAAUAUUGCACAAUGGGCGCAAGCCUGAUGCAGCCAUGCCGCGUGUG
rnacentral:rRNA from 1 species